UCCUUGGUGGUCCAGUGGCUAAGACUAUGCACUCCCAAUGCAGGGUCUCCAGUUCAAUCACUGGCCAGGGAA
rnacentral:tRNA from 1 species